GGUCAAGCUAUUAAGGGUGCAUGGGGGAUGUCUUGGCAUUAGAAGGCGAUGAAGGGCGUGAAAAUCUGCGAAAUGCUUGGGGUAGUCGAUAAAUAGGCGUUGAUCCCGAGAUUCCCGAAUAAGCUUCUGCUGAAUACAUAGGCAGUUGUCAGCAAACCGAGUGAACUGAAACAUCUAAGUAACUCGAGGAAGAGAAAGAAAACUCGAUUCUGUAAGUAGCGGCGAGCGAAAGCGGAACAGCCCAAACCAGUGGGGUUUCCCUGCUGGGGUUGUAGGACUCUCAAUAACGGAGUUAGAAAAUUCAAUUUAGAAGAACGACUUGGAAUGGUCGACCACAGAGGGUGACAGUCCCGUAUUUGAAAGUGUUGAAUCUCCAGAGAGCACCUGAGUAGGACCCGUCACGUGAAACCGGGUCUGAAUCUACGGGGACCAUCCCGUAAGGCUAAAUACUCUCUAAUGACCGAUAGUGAACUCAGUAGCGUGAGUGAAAGAUGAAAAGUGCCCCGUUUAGGGGAGUGAAAUAGUAUCUGAAACCAUGUACCUACAAGCGGUUGGAGCCCUAUGAUUCGUUCAGGGUGACAGCGUGCCUUUUGCAUAAUGAUCCGGCGAGUUGUGGUAUGUAGCUUGGUUAAGGUCCUCCGGACCGGAGCCCCAGGGAAACCGAGUGUGAAUAGCGCGAAUAUUGGUUACAUGCCGCAGACGCGAACCCAGGUGAUCUACCCAUGAGCAGGUUGAAGCGCGGGUUAUACUGCGUGGAGGACCGAACCCACUUAGGUUGAAAACUGAGGGGAUGACUUGUGGGGAGGAGUGAAAGUCUAAUCAAACCUGGAGAUAGCUCGUUCUCUGCGAAAUAUCUUUUGGGAUAGCGUCGAGUAAACUAUGACAUGGGGGUAGAGACACUGAAUUGGAUGGGGGCCCUUCCCGGGGUACCCCACUGAACCAAACUCCGAAUACCAUGUUAAUUACCUCGGCAGUCAGUCCGUGUGGGAUAAGCUGCACGGUCGAAAGGGAAACAACCCAGACCAUCGUCUAAGGUCCCCAAGUACUACUCAGUCACUAAGGAAGUUAGUUUGCUGAGACAGCCAGGAUGUUGGCUUAGAAGCAGCCACCAUUUAAAAAGUGCGUAACAGCUUACUGGUCGAGCAGACUUGCGCCGAUAAUGAACGGGAGUAAGUAGUACACCGAAGACAUGGAUUUACACUUAUGUGUAAGUGGUAGCAGAGCGCUGUAUGAGAGAUACAAGCCCUACGGUAACGAAGGGUCACGGCUCAUACAGGUGAUUAUGUCGGAAUGAGUAACGAUAAAACAGGUGAGAAUCCUGUUCGCCCAAAGCGUAAGGUUUCCUGGGGAAGGUAAAUCCGCCCAGGGUUAGGCGAUAACUUAGUCGAGGCCGAAAGGCGUAGACGAUGUAUAGCAGGUUAAUAUUCCUGCCCCGAUUUGUGGAGCGAUGGAGGGACGGCGACCAGAAUGCACGCGGACGAUUAGAAAUGUCCGUGGAGGUCACUGAGUUGGAGCAAUGUAAAUACGUGCUCAUAAUACAAGGUGAUCGACCAACCGGCUUGACUGGGAUUGUGUUGGAAGGUCGUCCAAGAAAAGCUUCUAAGUGUUGAAGCAAAUUGAUCGUACUAAAACUGACACAGGUACGCGAGUCGAGUAGACUAAGGCGCUCGGGAGAACGGUGGUUAAGGAACUCUGCAAAAUGGCCCCGUAAGUUCGCGAUAAGGGGUGCCCCUGACGGUUCACGCUGUUGGGGGCCACAGUAAAUCGGCUCCUUCGACUGUUUAUCAAAAACACAGGUCUCUGCUAACACGUAAGUGGAUGUAUAGAGACUGACGCCUGCCCGGUGUUGGUAGGUUAAGGAAGACGGUUAGCCUUCGGGUGAAGCUGGCGACCGAAGCCCCAAUAAACGGCGGCCGUAACUAUGACGGUCCUAAGGUAGAAUUUUCUGCCCACUGGUUUAGCGAUAAACCAGACUGCACUUUGCUAUAUGCUGGAACAUCUGAGUAUCCGACGGUACGAGACGAAGCGAUGCUUCGAUUUCGGAUUUAGAAUUUCUAAUUUCGAAAAAGAAGAACAGCGACGUCCGUGAAAAUCUGUUCGGUGCAGACAAUCAGCAGGAAACCAUUUCAACGUUCAGGAUUUAUCCUGUUCGUCAUUGAUGGGCUCCUCAGAGACUAAACGCAAAGCGACUCUUGAUUCUUUUGAAGCGUGUAACUUAACGCUUCUGAGUUUCGGUUAUUGAUUUUUGGUUUUUCGAAAUCAGAAAUUAGAAAUCCGAAAUCUCGUGGAACACGAGCCGAAGAUAUAGUCCGAGCUGCAUGGCGACAUGCAGAGGGCAACAGAAAUGUUGUUCCGCCGAUAGUGAGCAUAAAUCUCUUGCUCACACAUGCGUUGCAAAUGUUUCGAUCUUGAAUCUUCUGCUUUCUGUUUCUCAUUCAGGCCUACGCUUGCGUUAGAAAUUAGAAAUCCGAAAUUCGAAAUCGCUGCAAAGCAGCGUGCAGUUUCUUAGCUAUUCAUCAGGGUCUAGUUCUUAAAAACUAGAUCAGCGUUUCAAUUGUUUUAAUGAUUGAAGCAACGGUUUGGAUCUUGGCUAGAUCCGGUUGACAGUAAGCUAAAACUUUUCAUGAUCCUUGUAAAAGUGAAACUUGUAUCGGUAGUAACAUACUGAGCGAAGUUCCUUGUCGGGUAAGUUCCGACCUGCAUGAAAGGCGUAACGAGAGGAGCACUGUCUCAACCACCGACCCGGUGAAAUUGUAGUCGUGGUGAAGAUGCCACGUACCCGCGGUUAGACGGAAAGACCCCGUGAACCUUUACUGUAGGCAGAUAUUGGGCUGAGUUAUGUUUUGUGUAGUGCUAGGUGGGAGACUUUGAAGCAAGGCGCCAGUCUUGUGGAGUCGCAAGGUGAAAUACCACCCUGAAUAUGAUUUAGUUCUAACUUUGACCCUUGAAUCAGGGCAAAGGACAGUUUCUGUUGGGCAGUUUGACUGGGGCGGUCUCCUCCCAAAGAGUAACGGAGGAGUUCAAAGGUACACUCAGCCUGGUUGGCAAUCAGGCGUCGAGCGCAAAGGUAGAAGUGUGCUUUACUGCGAGACUAAUCAGUCGAGCAGUUACGAAAGUAGGACUUAGUGAUCCUGUGGUUCCGCAUGGAAGGGCCAUAGCUCAUCAGAUAAAAGGUACUCCGGGGAUAACAGGCUUAUCGCAUCCGAGCGUCCAUAGCGGCGAUGCGGUUUGGCACCUCGAUGUCGGCUCAUCACAUCCUGGGGGUGAAGAAGCUCCCAAGGGUUUGGCUGUUCGCCAAUGAAAGUGGUACGUGAGCUGGGUUCAGACCGUCGUGAGACAGGUCGGUCCCUAUCUGCCGUGGGCGUACGAAACUUGAGGAGAUUCUUCUUUAGUACGAGAGGAUUUGGAAGGACGAAGCUCUGGUGUUCCAGUUAUCACGCUAGUGGUACGGCUGGAUAGCUAACUUCGGAACGGAUAAACGCUGAAAGCAUCUAAGCGUGAAGCCCGCUCCAAGAUGAGGUUUCGUAGCGUUUUUACGCGAAAGUUCCCAGAAAGACGAUCUGGUUGAUAGGCCGUAUGUGUAAGUGCAGCAAUGUAUUAAGCUAAACGGUACUAAUGAACGAAUGCUUGACCAC
rnacentral:rRNA from 1 species